rnacentral:rRNA from 1 species
GCAUAUCAAUAAGCGGAGGAAAAGAAACCAACAGGGAUUGCCUCAGUAACGGCGAGUGAAGCGGCAAAAGCUCAAAUUUGAAACCGUUCGCGGGUUGUAAUUUGUAGAGUGCCUUGUGGCAACGGCAUAAGUACCUUGGAACAGGUCGCCAGAGAGGGUGAGAGCCCCGUAGCCGACGCUAUUAUACUUGGCACUCGACGAGUCGAGUUGUUUGGGAAUGCAGCUCAAAGUGGGUGGUAAAAUCCAUCUAAAGCUAAAUAUUGGCGAGAGACCGAUAGCGAACAAGUACAGUGAUGGAAAGAUGAAAAGAACUUUGAAAAGAGAGUGAAAUAGUACGUGAAAUUGUUGAAAGGGAAGGGCAUGCUGGGAGAUGUGCUUUUGGCUGUUCAGCGUUCUCUCGGGAGCGUGUACUCAGCUUUUGGCGUGGACUGGCGGCACUUUGGCAGCGGAUAAAGAGGUUCAGCUUGCUGUUCCAGAAUGCGCUGACUUGGUGUCCCCCGUCCGUAAUCCCAGCCUGCCAC